rnacentral:tRNA from 1 species
GCCGAUGUAGCUCAGUUGGUAGAGCAGUUGAUUUGUAAUCAUCAGGUCGCAGGUUCGACUCCUGUCAUCGGCU